GACAUGCAGAGAACUUUCCAGAGAUGGAUUGGUGCCUUCCGGGAACUCUGACACAGGUGCUGCAUGGCUGUCGUCAGCUCGCGUCGUGAGAUGUUGGGUUAAGUCCGUAACGAGCGCAACCCUUGUCCUUAGUUACCAGCACGUUAUGGUGGGCACUCUAAGGAGACUGCCGGUGACAAACCGGAGGAAGGUGGGGAUGACGUCAAGUCAUCAUGGCCCUUACGGCCUGGGCUACACACGUGCUACAAUGGCCGGUACAAAGGGAAGCGAGUUCGCGAGGACGAGCGGAUCCCUCAAAGCCGGUCGCAGUUCGGAUUGAAGUCUGCAACUCGACUUCAUGAAGCUGGAAUCGCUAGUAAUCGUGGAUCAGCCAAGCCGCGGUGAAUACGUUCCCGGGCCUU
rnacentral:rRNA from 1 species